GAUCAGUGGCUCAGGACGAACGCUGGCGGCGUGCUUCACACGUGCAAGUCGAACGGAAAGGCUCCUUCGGGAGUACUCGAGUGGCGAACGGGUGAGUAACACGUGGGUAACCUGCCCCCCAUCUCUGGGAUAACUGCUGGAAACGGUGGCUAAUACCGGAUAGGACCAGGCAUUGCAUGAUGUUUGGUGGAAAGCUUUUGCGGUUGGGGAGGGGCUCGCGGCCUAUCAGCUGGUUGGUGGGGUGAUGGCCUACCAAGGCGGUGACGGGUAGCCGGCCUGAGAGGGCGGUCGGUCACAUUGGGACUGAGAUACGGCCCAGACUCCUACGGGAGGCAGCAGUGGGGAAUCUUGCACAAUGGGCGGAAGCCUGAUGCCAGCGACGCCGCGUGAGGGAUGACGGUCGUUUCGGGUUAGUAAACCUUCUUUUAUCCAUGACGAAGGUCGGCUUUUUGGUCGGUUGACGGUAGUGGUUGAAUAAGCGCCGGCUAACUACGUGCCAGCCGCGGC
rnacentral:rRNA from 1 species